UAAUCUACCAGUAAACCUAAAGUAUAACUACCGUAAAAUCUGAAUAGCUGGUUAACACGAGUUUAACUAAACAUGUUUUUGAUCUGCAUUCAGCUCGGGAUUAACUGAUGGAGUUUAUUCACGAUUAACCUCUCAUCUAGAAAUUAAUGUUACGUGUACCCUGCACUUCUGAAAUACAGAGAUUCUUCUUCGAGACCAAGACAAUGCUGCCAUUUUGAAGCAGCACUGCCAGCAAAACAGACUUGAUUUGGAGGAAACAUCAAGGACAUAGAUGUUUUCAUAUUUUUUUUUUCUUUUCCCUUAUAAUUCUUACCAAGCUUACUAGUGUGCCAAUUUUUGUUCUUCCUUCAGUAAUUCUGUAAUUUUCCAAGGACCUUCCCAUAAUCUUUGCAUUCUGUUGACAAAGAAGGCCUUUGUGUAUUAUUCCGGUAACUGUGUUUUGCCAUAUCUAACAAAUAAAACAAGAAGGCGUUUUAUUAUUCCCGG